rnacentral:rRNA from 1 species
AGGUUAAGUUAGAAAGGGCGCACGGUGAAUGCCUUGGCACUAGGAGCCGAUGAAGGACGGGACUAACACCGAUAUGCUUCGGGGAGCUGUAAGUAAGCUUUGAUCCGGAGAUUUCCGAAUGGGGGAACCCACUGCUCGUAAUGGAGCAGUAUCUUUAUCUGAAUACAUAGGAUAUUGAAGGCAGACCCGG